rnacentral:lncRNA from 10 species
UGAGAAACACCCAAGAAUGAUCAAUAAAAAAAAAAAAAAUAAAAUAAAGUAGAAGGGUGGGGGAAAUGUGAUUAUUCCAAACCCGGCGUGUCUUUAUGAUUUUAUAUCCAACUGAUCAUUCAGGGAGGUUAUUAGGACAGUGGUUGAAACAGAAAUUUAGGAUAAUAUUCUAAGAAACAGAAAAAGCAGUCUUCUCAUUCUAACUGGCAAAACCAACAGAGAUAACAAAAAAAAAUUUUUUUUUUCCCCAGGAAGAGCGUGUGCAUUCAAACUUGUUCAUUCAUUAAUUUGAGUUGAAGGGAGGGGGACGUCCUUGGUGGAAAAGUUAAAGAAAGUGCUCUGGAUGAGAAAUUCACAGGGAGACAUAAGACAACAGCUCAGAGUGGAAGAAAUAGAUGUUCUCAGGAAGAGGCUGUAUGCUGUCCUGGUUUCGAGCAUCUGCCCUACAGUCAGAAUGCCUGCAUUUGAAAUAAGUUUCUGCCACGAACUAGCUGUAAGACCGUGGGCUUCACCAAGUUGAGAGUACUCAUGGGGCCAUAUUAACAGUAAUACCCAAAAGUUGCUGGCUUUUACUCCCAGGCGAAUCUUCUUUCCUUCUGCUCUGCCUUGCCACGUUCGGGGAAGUUCCCAGAAAAUCUAAGCAUGAUUUGGGGGAAGAGUCACUGAUGUAAUUUCCUAGACAGCCACUGGAGGGCAGCAGCUCCCUCUCACCCCCGACCCCAGCCCUGAAGAGGAUGCUGCCAUCAGGCCCAGAGCAUUCCUGAAGCAGCAAACUCUCAGUCAUUGCAUGGAAACUCUACAGAAACAGGGGGACUAUCCCUCUUCCCAACUCUUGGUCACACGUUGUGACCUGGGUUUCGUAAAGUCCUAUGUGGAAACAAGCACAUGUCAGAGUCCAAGCUUAAUAGCGGGUUGAGAAUGUGAUACACAACAGGAUGACCCUGACAGCCUGCAGCUGGCGGCUAUCUAGCGUUCCCUCACGCAAGAUAAGCAGUUUUCACAGAAUAACAACAAUAAUCAGACAAGGUCCCUCCGUAACCAUGGUGGAACAAGACAAUAACAAGAUUGCAACUUACUCAAUCUGAACAUGAACACAGACAAAGACAUUAAACAAUCACGAAAAUAACCAAAUAGCCACCCUGAUGUAGUCACACGAGUGACUCUAGCCUCCCAGGUAAAAAUUAAGACACCCAAUCAUCAGGCCGGGUGCAUUGGCUCAUGCCUGUAAUCCCAGCACUUUGGGAGGCUGAGGCAGGUGGAUCACGAGGUCAAGAGAUCGAGACCAUCCUGGCCAACAUGGUGAAACCCUUUCUCUACUAAAAAUACAAACUAGCCGGGCGUGGUGGUGUGCACCUGUAGUCCCAGCUACUUGGGAGGUUGAGGCAGGAGAAUCACUUGAACCUGGGAGGCAGAGGUUGCAGUGAGCCGAGAUCACGCCACUUCACUCCAGCCUGGGCAACAGAGGAAGACUCCAUCUCAAAAAAAAAAAAAUUGCACUUUGGGGUUUGCAGCAACCUCUUGUUAGUAUUUAUCCUAUCUAGUGGAGAAUUUCUCUUUAUUUUAACUACUGCCUGAAAGACACUGCUGUGAUACAUUAAUUUUUAAUGUAAGUAGGUGCAUAGCUAUAAUGAAAACAUCAUAAUAAAUCU